rnacentral:tRNA from 1 species
GGGCCUGUAGCUCAGCUGGUUAGAGCCACCGGCUCAUAACCGGGAGGUCGGAGGUUCGAAUCCUCCCAGGCCCACCA